GAUGAACGCUGGCGGCGUGCCUAAUACAUGCAAGUCGAGCGAACAGACGAGGAGCUUGCUCCUCUGACGUUAGCGGCGGACGGGUGAGUAACACGUGGAUAACCUACCUAUAAGACUGGGAUAACUUCGGGAAACCGGAGCUAAUACCGGAUAAUAUCUUGAACCGCAUGGUUCAAUAGUGAAAGACGGUUUUGCUGUCACUUCUAGAUGGAUCUGCGCCGCAUUAGCGAGUUGGUAAGGUAACGGCUUACCAAGGCAACGAUGCGUAGCCGACCUGAGAGGGUGAUCGGCCACACUGGAACUGAGACACGGUCCAGACUCCUACGGGAGGCAGCAGUAGGGAAUCUUCCGCAAUGGGCGAAAGCUUGACGGAGCAGCGCCGCGUGAGUGAUGAAGGUCUUCGGAUCGUAAAACUCUGUUAUUAGGGAAGAACAACUGUGUAAGUAACUAUGCACGUCUUGACGGUACCUAAUCAGAAAGCCACGGCUAACUACGUG
rnacentral:rRNA from 1 species